GUUCAUAAAGAAAUAAUUAGCUUAGACGAUUUAAAUUAUAAAAUUAAUAUAAUUUAUUAAAAUAUUUUUAUUAAUUAUAGUUAGGGAGUAGAAUUCAUUAAAUAAAGGUAUAUAAGUGAAAAAGAACACUUCCUUCCUUCCUUCAAAAAAUUUUUUUUUGGAAAAGAACACUAAAUAUUUAUUGAGACAUAAAUAAAAGGGUUAAUAGUGCUUUUCACCCUUGUAAUAUACG
rnacentral:lncRNA from 1 species